rnacentral:rRNA from 1 species
CUGGUGUACAGGUGGUGCAUGGUUGUCGUCAGCUCGUGUCGUGAGAUGUUGGGUUAAGUCCCGCAACGAGCGCAACCCUUGUCUUAUGUUGCCAGCAUUUGGUUGGGGACUCAUGAGAGACUGCCGGGGUCAACUCGGAGGAAGGUGGGGAUGACGUCAAAUCAUCAUGCCCCUUAUGUCCAGGGCUUCACACAUGCUACAAUGGUCGGUACAACGCGCAGCGACACUGUGAGGUGGAGCGAAUCGCUGAAAGCCGGCCUUAGUUCGGAUUGGGGUCUGCAACUCGACCCCAUGAAGUCGGAGUCGCUAGUAAUCGCAGAUCAGCAACGCUGCGGUGAAUACGUUCCCGGGCCUUGUACACACCGCCCGUCACGUCAUGAAAGUUGGUAACACCCGAAGCCGGUGGCCCAAACUUGUUAGGGAGCCGUCGAAGGUGGGAUCGGCGAUUGGGACGAAGUCGUAACAAGGUACCCGUACCGGAAGGUGCGGGUGGAUCACCUCCUUU